rnacentral:rRNA from 1 species
UACGUAGGGUGCAAGCGUUGUCCGGAAUUAUUGGGCGUAAAGAGCUCGUAGGCGGCCUGUUGCGUCUGCUGUGAAAUCCCGGGGCUUAACUCCGAGCUUGCAGUCGAUACGGGCAGGCUAGAGUUCGGCAGGGGAGACUGGAAUUCCUGGUGUAGCGGUGAAAUGCGCAGAUAUCAGGAGGAACACCGGUGGCGAAGGCGGGUCUCUGGGCCGAUACUGACACUGAGGAGCGAAAGCGUGGGGAGCGAACAGG